rnacentral:rRNA from 1 species
CAGUAGCCGCGGGAAUACGAAGGGUGCAAGCGUUACUCGGAAUUACUGGGCGUAAAGCGUGCGUAGGUGGUGGUUUAAGUCCGUUGUGAAAGCCCUGGGCUCAACCUGGGAAUUGCAGUGGAUACUGGGUCACUAGAGUGUGGUAGAGGAUAGUGGAAUUUCCGGUGUAGCAGUGAAAUGCGUAGAGAUCGGAAGGAACAUCUGUGGCGAAGGCGACUAUCUGGGCCAACACUGACACUGAGGCACGAAAGCGUGGGGAGCAAACAGGAUUAGAUACCCAGUAGUCCCUGUCUCUUAUACA